GAACGGGUGGGUAACACGUGGGUGAUCUGCCCUGCACUUUGGGAUAAGCUUGGGAAACUGGGUCUAAUACCGAAUAUGACCACUUCUUGGAUGUUGUGGUGGAAAGCUUUUGCGGUGUGGGAUGAGCCUGCGGCCUAUCAGCUUGUUGGUGGGGUAAUGGCCUACCAAGGCGGCGACGGGUAUCCGGCCUGAGAGGGUGUACGGACACAUUGGGACUGAGAUACGGCCCAGACUCCUACGGGAGGCAGCAGUGGGGAAUAUUGCACAAUGGGCGCAAGCCUGAUGCAGCGACGCCGCGUGGGGGAUGAAGGCCUUCGGGUUGUAAACUCCUUUCGCUAUCGACGAAGCCACUUGUGGUGACGGUAGGUAGAUAAGAAGCACCGGCUAACUACGUGCCAGCAGCCGCGGUAAUACGUAGGGUGCAAGCGUUGUCCGGAAUUACUGGGCGUAAAGAGCUCGUAGGUGGUUUGUCGCGUCGUCUGUGAAAUCCCGGGGCUUAACUUCGGGCGUGCAGGCGAUACGGGCAUAACUUGAGUGCUGUAGGGGAGACUGGAAUUCCUGGUGUAGCGGUGAAAUGCGCAGAUAUCAGGAGGAACACCGAUGGCGAAGGCAGGUCUCUGGGCAGUAACUGACGCUGAGGAGCGAAAGCAUGGGUAGCGAACAGGAUUAGAUACCCU
rnacentral:rRNA from 1 species